rnacentral:rRNA from 1 species
CUUGACUGUAGCCUGGAAUUGGGUUUGGGCUCUUCUUGCGCAGCCUAGGUGGGAGGCGUUGACAGUUCCCUUCCGGGGGAGCUUGAGCCAUCAGUGAGAGACCACUCUGGAGGAGCUAGAAUUCUAAUGGCGAUCCUUGAAUCAGGACGCUUGACAGUUUCAGGCGGGCAGUUUGACUGGGGCGGUCGCCUCAUAAAAGGUAACUGAGGCGUGCAAAGGUUCCCUCAGGCUGGACGGAAAUCAGCCGUAGAGUGUAAAGGCAGAAGGGAGCUUGACUGCAAGACUUACAAGUCGAGCAGGGGCGAAAGCCGGCCUUAGUGAUCCGACGGUACCGUGUGGAAGGGCCGUCGCUCAACGGAUAAAAGUUA